UACGUAGGGGGCAAGCGUUGUCCGGAAUUACUGGGCGUAAAGGGCGCGUAGGCGGCCAGCACAAGUCAGUUGUGAAAUCUCCGAGCUUAACUCGGAAAGGUCAACUGAUACUGUGCGGCUAGAGUGCGGAAGGGGCAACUGGAAUUCUUGGUGUAGCGGUGAAAUGCGUAGAUAUCGUGAGGAAUACCAGAGGCGAAGGCGGCUACCUGGACAAUUGCUGACGCUCAGGCACGAAAGCGUGGGGAGCAAAAGGG
rnacentral:rRNA from 1 species